rnacentral:rRNA from 1 species
AUUGAACGCUGGCGGCAGGCCUAACACAUGCAAGUCGAACGAGUGGCGGACGGGUGAGUAAUGUCGGGGAAACUGCCCGAUGGAGGGGGAUAACUACUGGAAAAAGUAGCUAAUACCGCAUACCAUCGGAUGUGCCCAGAUGGGUUUAGCUACCAGGUGGGGUAACGGCUCACCUAGGCGACGAGCCCUAGCAGGUCUGAGAGGAUGAACAGCCACACUGGAACUGAGACACGGUCCAGACUCCUACGGGAGGCAGCAGUGGGGAAUAUUGCACAAUGGGCGCAAGCCUGAUGCAGCCAUGCCGCGUGUAUGAAGAAGGUCUUCGGGUUGUAAAGUACUUUCAUCGGGGAGGCGUUACUCGAAGAAGAAGCACCGGCUAACUCCGUGCCAGCCGCCGCGGUAAUUG